CCUACGGGUGGCAGCAGUGAGGAAUAUUGGUCAAUGGGCGCGAGCCUGAACCAGCCAAGUCGCGUGAGGGAAGACGGCCCUACGGGUUGUAAACCUCUUUUGCCGGGGAGCAACGGGCGCCACGUGUGGCGCCACUGAGAGUACCCGGAGAAAAAGCAUCGGCUAACUCCGUGCCAGCAGCCGCGGUAAUACGGAGGAUGCGAGCGUUAUCCGGAUUUAUUGGGUUUAAAGGGUGCGUAGGCGGGGACGCAAGUCAGAUGUGAAAACCACGGGCUCAACCUGUGGCCUGCAUUUGAAACUGUGUUUCUUGAGUACUGGAGAGGCAGACGGAAUUCCUAGUGUAGCGGUGAAAUGCGUAGAUAUUAGGAGGAACACCAGUGGCGAAGGCGGUCUGCUGGACAGCAACUGACGCUGAGGCGCGAAAGCGUGGGGAGCAAACAGGAUUAGAUACCCUGGUAGUC
rnacentral:rRNA from 1 species